rnacentral:rRNA from 1 species
GAUGAACGCUGGCGGCGUGCCUAAUACAUGCAAGUCGAGCGAACAGACGAGGAGCUUGCUCCUCUGACGUUAGCGGCGGACGGGUGAGUAACACGUGGAUAACCUACCUAUAAGACUGGGAUAACUUCGGGAAACCGGAGCUAAUACCGGAUAAUAUAUUGAACCGCAUGGUUCAAUAGUGAAAGACGGUUUUGCUGUCACUUAUAGAUGGAUCCGCGCCGCAUUAGCUAGUUGGUAAGGUAACGGCUUACCAAGGCAACGAUGCGUAGCCGACCUGAGAGGGUGAUCGGCCACACUGGAACUGAGACACGGUCCAGACUCCUACGGGAGGCAGCAGUAGGGAAUCUUCCGCAAUGGGCGAAGGCCUGACGGAGCAACGCCGCGUGAGUGAUGAAGGUCUUCGGAUCGUAAAACUCUUUUAUUAGGGAAGAACAAAUGUGUAAGUAACUAUGCACGUCUUGACGGUACCUAAUCAGAAAGCCACGGCUAACUACGUG